CUGAGCCCCGCCCCCGCCCGGGCCAGCCUCCCGUCGCUGCCCGCGAGACACUGCGCUGUGCACGAGCGAAGCAGCCCAGGCCUCCUUCGCCACCUGUAAGUCCAGCCGCGCAGGCGCCUUCGCACCGUGCACGCCUGGGGGUGGGGAGCAAGGCAAUGGCGGCAAGUGACCCGGAAACGGCCCAGAGACAAAAGCGGAGAAUAACAUGGGAAAUCUUUCUUGUGAAAGAAAUCAGUAGAAUACUGGAAUUCCAACAUCUGUAUACUUCUGCUUCAAAAUAGUAUCACACUGAAGCUCCACCAACUCCAUCUGCGUUUCCUCUGCAACAUUGUCAAUUUCCACAGCAAAUGAUGUUCAAGUGCUUUGAAAUCUUUAAACUGCACAUCAAACUGUUUGCAUAAAUUAGAAGUAUCUGCAUAUUCUUUCAAAGAUUUAGAUUCAGCUUUUCCUAAGGAAUUCAGAGUCGAGAAAUGGACCAAAUUGCCAGCAGUCAGCUAUUUCCCCCACAAAGUAAGCUUGACUUUGAGUGACUUAACAUACAUCAUAUAUCUGUGUUAUCACCUGUUUUCUACCCUGGAGCUUCAAGUUCAGUUCAGUCAGGUGAUCAGGUACAUCUGUUAGAAAAGCAAGGUUGCAGAUAAAAGUGGAAUCAGCAAGCUGUGGAACCUCCUUGUUUUUCAUUUUCAUGAAGGAAUCAAUCUCUUCUCUAAAUGCAAAAAAAUGCUUCAAAACAUUUUCACGACUCAGACAUCUAACUUGUGUGAUACAGAUGUUCCCCAUAUUCUCUGUCCAUACUUGCUAGAAAAGAAGUAAACUGUCAGUGAUUCAGCCCUCGUGCAUGUAUAACAUUAAUGGACUGGUCCCCAACCUUUUUCAUCUGGCGGGCGUUGGACAACGAGCCACCGAGGACCAUGGCCAGCGGACGAGCAUCCACCGAAAUGCCGCCGAGAAGCGUGUCAUAAACAGAUAGCUAAGGGUUAAUGUUUCUUUUACCUGUAAAGGGUUAACAAAGGGAACCAAACACCUGACCAGAGGACCAAUCAGG
rnacentral:lncRNA from 1 species